GUGGGGAAUUUUGGACAAUGGGCGCAAGUCUGAUCCAGCAAUGCCGCGUGCAGGAAGAAGGCCUUCGGGUUGUAAACUGCUUUUGUACGGAACGAAACGGUCCGGGUUAAUACCCUGGGCUAAUGACGGUACCGUAAGAAUAAGCACCGGCUAACUACGUGCCAGCAGCCGCGGUAAUACGUAGGGUGCAAGCGUUAAUCGGAAUUACUGGGCGUAAAGCGUGCGCAGGCGGUUUUGUAAGACAGGCGUGAAAUCCCCGGGCUCAACCUGGGAAUUGCGCUUGUGACUGCAAGGCUGGAGUGCGGCAGAGGGGGAUGGAAUUCCGCGUGUAGCAGUGAAAUGCGUAGAUAUGCGGAGGAACACCGAUGGCGAAGGCAAUCCCCUGGGCCUGCACUGACGCUCAUGCACGAAAGCGUGGGGAGCAAACAGGAUUAGAUACCCUUGUAGUCC
rnacentral:rRNA from 1 species